rnacentral:rRNA from 1 species
UAAGGAAUAUUGGUCAAUGGACGCAAGUCUGAACCAGCCAUGCCGCGUGAAGGAUGAAGGUCCUCUGGAUUGUAAACUUCUUUUAUCUGGGACGAAAACGGGAUUUUUAUCUCAAUUGACGGUACCAGAGGAAUAAGCACCGGCUAACUACGUGCCAGCAGCCGCGGUAAUACGUAGGGAGCAAGCGUUGUUCGGAUUCACUGGGCGUAAAGGGCGCGUAGGCGGCGCGGUAAGUCACUUGUGAAAUCUCUGAGCUUAACUCAGAACGGCCAAGUGAUACUGCUGUGCUAGAGUGCGGAAGAGGCAACCGGAAUUCUUGGUGUAGCGGUGAAAUGCGUAGAUAUCAAGAGGAACACCUGAGGCGAAGGCGGGUUGCUGGGCCGACACUGACGCUGAUGCGCGAAAGCCAGGGGAGCAAACG